AAGCGCGCGUAGGUGGUUUGUUAAGUUGGAUGUGAAAUCCCCGGGCUCAACCUGGGAACUGCAUUCAAAACUGACUGACUAGAGUAUGGGUAGAGGGUGGUGGAAUUUCCUGUGUAGCGGUGAAAUGCGUAGAUAUAGGAAGGAACACCAGUGGCGAAGGCGACCACCUGGACUAAUACUGACACUGAGGUGCGAAAGCGUGGGGAGCAAACAGGAUUAGAUACCCGAGU
rnacentral:rRNA from 1 species